rnacentral:rRNA from 1 species
AUUGAACGCUGGCGGCAGGCCUAACACAUGCAAGUCGAGCGGAUGAAGGGAGCUUGCUCCUGGAUUCAGCGGCGGACGGGUGAGUAAUGCCUAGGAAUCUGCCUGGUAGUGGGGGAUAACGUCCGGAAACGGGCGCUAAUACCGCAUACGUCCUGAGGGAGAAAGUGGGGGAUCUUCGGACCUCACGCUAUCAGAUGAGCCUAGGUCGGAUUAGCUAGUUGGUGGGGUAAAGGCCUACCAAGGCGACGAUCCGUAACUGGUCUGAGAGGAUGAUCAGUCACACUGGAACUGAGACACGGUCCAGACUCCUACGGGAGGCAGCAGUGGGGAAUAGUAGACAGUGGGCGAAAGCCUGAUCCAGCCAUGCCGCGUGUGUGAAGAAGGUCUUCGGAUUGUAAAGCACGUUAAGUUGGGAGGAAGGGCAGUAAGUUAAUACCUUGCUGUUUUGACGUUACCAACAGAAUAAGCACCGGCUAACUUCGUG